rnacentral:antisense_RNA from 1 species
GGCCGCAUUCGUGCCCACUGGCCCCGGCUGCGGCAUCGAGGGCGACCCUGCACACACCCCUCCUCGCCCUGGCCAGCCGAUAAGAGGGCUAGCCUCAGUGUGGGGGUCUGUCUUCUAAAGGGGUUGUCACCCAUCCUUAUUUCUUUUAAUGCAGCUUUGGGGAAGGUGAACAGCCGCUCUGAGAUCAUUUCGCAUAACGGUCUGAACCAUCGUCUUUUAAACUGUGACCUGUGUGGGGGUGCCUGUCUCACUUUAAGGUCCUCCCUUCCCCCAGCCGUCACCCCAUUUACGGGCCAUCCUUAGUGACUUAGUGACAAGUCAACCGUGAGGGGGAAAAAACACAACUCAAUACCCACAAAGCGUUGAGACUUCUAGAAGGAGUGCAGUCACCAACCCCCGCCUUCUGUCACUUAUCCUGACAUUUUCCAGACGGGGUUUCACCGUGUUAGCCAGGAUGGUCUCAAUCUUCUAACCUCAUGAUCUGCCCACCUCGGCCUCGCAAAGCGCUGGGAUUACAGGCGUGAGCCUCCGCGACCGGCCAGAACUAGCUCUUCUUAAGGAUGUGACAGUGAUCUGCACUAGAGCUUCAGGCAGCUAAG